rnacentral:lncRNA from 1 species
GUUUGUUUUUCCAGUGGAGGUGGAGUCUCACAUCUAUCAAGUACAGUUUACUUGAGGAUCUGACUCAAACCAAAACAUUAUCUCCAAUAUUUUCCAGAGCCAAGAAGUGAUCUCAGGACUUUAUGUACCAUGUUAUGUUCCAAGCUUGACUAGCUCUACUUUAUAAACAGAAAUUCUAAUGUACAAAGAAAUAAGAAGGUUCUACAAUUCGAAAGUGACCUGAGUGCUGGCUUCUUUGGUUUGUUUCACAUUAUAAAAAUAAAAAAAAAUAAAAAAAAUAAAAAAUCCAGGCCAGACAAGCUUCUCAAAUCAUUCCGAACAAUUCUGAUAAUGUGCAAUUUAAAGUUCUGGGAUUUUAACACUUGUUUUUAUUUCAAAAACUGCAAAACCAGAGUUCCUGCUGUGGCUCAGUGAGUUAAGAAUCCAACUGCAGCAUCUCUGGUCACCGUAGAGCUGUGAGUUCAAUCCCCAAUCUGGUGCAGUGGGUUAAAGGAUCCAACAUUGCUGCAGCUGCAGGUAGGUCACAGCUGUAGUUCAGAUUCAAUCCUUGGCCUGGGAACUUCCCUAUGCCAUGGGUGUGGCCAUAAAAAAACCCUGCAAAACCCUCUUCAUAUUCUGAAUAUUCUUGAAUUAUUUCUGCACUCAUAAGAUUUGAGUUGCAUCUCAACUUAGUUGCUAAACUACUUUACAGCUGCUUUUGUUAAAAAAAUUAAUCUCUUUAAUGCAUUAAAGAAAAUGAAGUUUUUUUGGGGUAGCUUUAUUUACCUAUACUUGCAUAAAUGAUUAGGAAGAGAGGUAUAAUAAAACUGGAUGCAGUAGUUUUGCUCCAAAAUAUUGCUUUGCUCUAAUUAUCAUCCUAAGGCAUAGCUUAAUUAAGAUCUAAAUAUAUAACUUUAAUUCAAAUGCAGCUGAAAUUUGAGAGUAGCAGAGAAGAGCAGCAAUUCAAAAUUUAAAAAGAAUGAAAUUAAGAAUGACUAUACACUAACCAUACAGUAAUCAUUUAAGCCAAAUAGUAGACUCAUUCUUCAUAGUUUCUUUUUCAAUAUAUGUCUGUACUUCUAAACAACAUAAAGGAGAGACUUAACUCAUCCUAAUAACAACAGUGAAGCAACGCAUAUAAUUCAACUGAAAAUAACAUGGCACUUAUGAUUGAUAAUUUAAUAACAUCUAAACAGGAACUAUAAAGUAUUUUAUAAAAUCAUAAUUUUUGUAAAAUUUUCAUGAAAUCUUAAAAUUCUUAAAAGCUUAGCAUUUAUUUCUGUAACUUGAUUCUAAUUUUGCAGAGCCCAAACAAUAACAUUAACUGUUUACUUAUUCCAUUAUUUUAACUACUUUUUUGCCCCUCUUUGGAUGUGGGGGGAGGAAGUCUUUUAGAUGAACAAUUGAAGAAUUUUUGUUUCAUAUUUUUCAUGCAUCAUAGAUGGGGCAAACAUUUCAUUACAGGUAUUAUUAUAAAUAUCACUUUUCAUGUGAAAGUAUUAUGAAUACAAGUAAUUAGCUUGUAACAGUAUAGAAGACUUGAGAAAAAAAUGUGUAAAAUACCAAACAUCAUGACAAUUAAUACACAGUUUCUAUUAUUGUUUUCUCUUUUGCUUCCCUUUAAUUUAUUUCAGCAUAUACUGAUAAAAUUUAUAUUGAGCAGUAGACAGAUGAACUAUUAGUGAUGUGUUCUGAUAAGAUAUAAGAGGAUUUAAAAAGUAUAAGCUAUGUCAUGAUUUUGAAUUUCCAUCAAUUAAAAGCACUUUCCUGCAAUCCACUGUAAAUUAAACUAUUUACAGCAGUGAAGAUUUCCCAUGCCCAUGACCACACUAAGAGCCAAGACUGCCCUCUCCCUCUUCCACAUCACUGCUGCAAAAUCAGACUCUCCUGUGGGCAUGGGACUGGUUUUGCAUUGCUUCAGUGCUCACCCUGUCAGUGCCUCAAUCAGUACCUGAUCCUUUCCCAGAGCAUUUUGCAACUUGGUCAUAAAUAUAGAAAAAGAUAGUUUUUGGAGAACAUUUAGCACUUAACCAUAAAAAUGUCUCUUUAACAUACAUUACUAAACUUAAAUUACACAUUACCCAAUAGUCAAGUUAAAUGCUUCAAUUGAAAACUUAUGUGUUUAGCUAUUUAAUGGUGAAAUAAAAGCAAUAAAACUUAUCUGUUCUUGUUUUACAAUGAAGCCUCUCUUUCAGUAAGUGCUAAUUCAUUUCUAUCUUUUCAACUUUAUUUUGUGCCUGUAAGAAAGCAUUAGUUUUGAAAUCAUUAUUUAGGUUACAAAUACUGAAAGAUUCAACCGACAUUCAUUUUAAGGCACAUACUGCUUUUUGUCUCUUCUUGGUUUGAAAACUGCUACCUAGGACUCUCCAGCUUGCAUGUCACAACACCCCCACAAAUCUGUUAUUUACUUUACAAGGUCUGAAACUUUAAGUAACAGCCCCCUCUCUUGCCUUACCAUGCCUUUGAUACCCAGUAAUUUAUCACUUGAUAGUAUCAUUUGUGCCACAAAAGACCCAGAAACAAAGAAACAGUUUUAGAGAUUAUAAUAACCAGUCAGAGAGUUGGUUUGCCAUACUUUAUUUCUUUAUGCCAUUGGACAAACAGAUUUCUCAUUAAGGGUCCAAAUCAAUAGAGCUGGUGGGAAAGUUGUAAAUAUCUCAUUAAUAAGAUUAAUUAGUGUUUUAUGUUAGCUAUACCAGCAAAUAAUUCAGAAGGCUAUUGCUAAUUGAAUUAGCAACAUUCAAGGAAAAAUCAUUUUGUUUUUGUCAUCUUAUCAAUAUUAGAAUGGAAAUUUUAAUAACUAGUUAAUUUUAAUAAUUAACUACUAAUGUUAAUAAAAUCACAUUUUCUUUUAAGAGUUGGAGAAAUACAUGAUCUAUGUAGGAAAAAAAAAAGUUUCUUAUCCAAAGUACCCAUCUUCUUUUUUUCUAUUAUUGCAAUGACAAAACAAUAUACUUCAAAUCAAAGUUAUAUACCUAUUAGAAAGGAUGACAGAGAUCAACAACAAAACAAAAAUGUCAGCAUUUUCCCCCCAAAUUCCAAUCCACCAGAAAUCCAUAUGCAUCUAGUUAUCUUUAAAGUUUAGAGACUGAUAAUGAUGACUUGUCACAAUGAAAAAGAAAAUUCCUUCCAUAUAUUUUACAACUAACUACUCACUGUGUACAAAGAAUUUCAACUUUGCAAAGUAUGAGAAUAUUUAAUUGCCAACUAUAUGCUGCCGUUGUCCACAAAUAGGUUACCUAAACACUGUAUGUGCAUGGAAGGGACAUAGUGCACAGGGGUCAUGUCCAUUGCAAUUAAGAAUAUUGGGAUUCCUAGGUGACAUACGGGAGGAACUGACAAAGUGUUAUAUCCAUGUCAUGAAAAAGGCUGCAUUCCAUUGUUAAAAGUUCAAUCGCAGAAGCUAUUUUAUUUAUUCAUUAUCAAGGAACUCAACAAUAUUGAGUUUCAACAACAUUUUGUGAAAGAUAUUUUCCUUUAUUGCUAUGAAAAAUAGUUAUGUUGAUCCACCUUAAGUCAUGCAUGAUGUACACACUAAUGGACUGCAUACUAAUAUAUAUAUGUAUAGUUAUAUGUAUAUAUGCAUACAUACCCCUUACAUGGUGUUUCAGACCUGAAGGAAAGCUUUUAGCAACAAACUGUUACCACCAGACUGUGAGACUGAAUGACCUCCUUAGUAACUGCCUGAAGACCCCACACAAGCACCUUAGCAACAGGGGAGAAGAAAGAGAGACUUUGUUUCCACAAGGCAAAAGCUGUUGCUAAGCAAAAAUGACAACCCAAAAUAGAGAAAACUGUAACUUGUUUUUUGAGAACCACUUCACAAGUUUCAUGAUUUAAUUGGCCCCAUUCACUUCAACAUAGACACCCAUACUCCAUGAGAAGCAAAAACAAAACCCUGAGACAACUUGUGCCAAACCCACUUCUACACCCUGCAGAUAAGCAGUUACCUCUCCUGCACCUCAAGCCAAAAAUCAACCCAAAGAUCCACAGUGAGGUUAUUUCCUCCUCCUGACUUCUUGUUCUGCUCUUCUGAUUCAUUCCACAUUUCACCCAAGCCACUGGUUGCGACCUUAAAACAAGUAGUUUUAAGCGGUUGCUUAAACCCCGAAGUCUCUAGAGUCUUGUAAUAUAGGCUCUACAAAGACUUGGGAGUAAACCCAAAGCUAUCGAUCGCACACCUGCUGGCUGGGUCUGCGGCUGCAGCCUUACCAUCCUCCUGGGACCACUUACCUGCUGCUCCCCGGGCUCGGUGGAUUUCACCAGGUGCUUAUCCUUAUACAGAGACCAGAGACCGAUAUUGGGCAGGAAAAUUAAAGCCACCAUGAAUAUCAAAGUCAUCUGCAGAAAUCUCUUCUGUUUCCUCUUCAUCGCAAAUGAUAACAGAGCAGAAAAGUUAAAGAUGUUGCCUGACUGCUUCUUGGGUUUAAUGUCAAAGUCCUUUCCUUUCCUCUGCGAAGCACCAGAAACUGAGGAGCAGCUGAAAACUUUUGUCGCGUGCUCAGCACCAAGGUGCAGGAUUCAGAAGGAGUGGGGC